GCUGGCGGCGUGCUUAACACAUGCAAGUCGAACGGAGUUGUCACGCUGAUGAAGCUUCGGCAGAAUCUUGAGACAACUUAGUGGCGGACGGGUGAGUAACGCGUGGGUAACCUGCCCUUUACCGGGGGACAACAGUUGGAAACGGCUGCUAAUACCGCAUAAGCGCACAGCAUCGCAUGAUGCAGUGUGAAAAACUCCGGUGGUAAAGGAUGGACCCGCGUCUGAUUAGCCAGUUGGCGGGGUAACGGCCCACCAAAGCGACGAUCAGUAGCCGGCCUGAGAGGGUGAACGGCCACAUUGGGACUGAGACACGGCCCAAACUCCUACGGGAGGCAGCAGUGGGGAAUAUUGCACAAUGGGGGAAACCCUGAUGCAGCGACGCCGCGUGAGUGAAGAAGUAUUUCGGUAUGUAAAGCUCUAUCAGCAGGAAAGAAAAUGACGGUACCUGACUAAGAAGCCCCGGCUAACUACGUGCCAGCAGCCGCGGUAAUACGUAGGGGGCAAGCGUUAUCCGGAUUUACUGGGUGUAAAGGGAGCGUAGACGGUAUUGUAAGUCUGAAGUGAAAUGCUGGGGCUCAACCCCGGAACUGCUUUGGAAACUGUAGUACUAGAGUGCAGGAGAGGUAAGCGGAAUUCCUAGUGUAGCGGUGAAAUGCGUAGAUAUUAGGAGGAACACCAGAGGCGAAGGCGGCUUACUGGACUGUAACUGACGUUGAGGCUCGAAGGCGUGGGGAGCAAACAGGAUUAGAUACCCUGGUAGUCCACGCGGUAAACGAUGAUCACUAGGUGUUGGCAUCCAAAGGUGUCAGUG
rnacentral:rRNA from 1 species